UGGGGAAUAUUGGACAAUGGGCGAAAGCCUGAUCCAGCCAUGCCGCGUGUGUGAAGAAGGUCUUCGGAUUGUAAAGCACUUUAAGUUGGGAGGAAGGGCAUUAACCUAAUACGUUAGUGUUUUGACGUUACCGACAGAAUAAGCACCGGCUAACUCUGUGCCAGCAGCCGCGGUAAUACAGAGGGUGCAAGCGUUAAUCGGAAUUACUGGGCGUAAAGCGCGCGUAGGUGGUUUGUUAAGUUGGAUGUGAAAUCCCCGGGCUCAACCUGGGAACUGCAUUCAAAACUGACUGACUAGAGUAUGGUAGAGGGUGGUGGAAUUUCCUGUGUAGCGGUGAAAUGCGUAGAUAGAGGAAGGAACACCAGUGGCGAAGGCGACCACCUGGACUAAUACUGACACUGAGGUGCGAAAGCGUGGGGAGCAAACA
rnacentral:rRNA from 1 species